CCUACGGGAGGCAGCAGUGAGGAAUUUUCCGCAAUGGGCUAACGCCUGACGGAGCAAUGCCGCGUGGAGGAGGAAGGCCUGUGGGUCGUAAACUCCUUUUCUCAGAGAAGAAGAUCUGACGGUAUCUGAGGAAUAAGCAUCGGCUAACUCUGUGCCAGCAGCCGCGGUAAUACAGGGGAUGCAAGCGUUAUCCGGAAUUAUUGGGCGUAAAGCGUCCUGAGGUGGCUUACCCAGUCGACUGUGAAAGCUCAAGGCUCAACCUUGAAACGGCAGUCGAAACUUGUAAGCUUGAGUACGGUAGAGGCAGAGGGAAUUCCCGGAGGAGAGGUGAAAUUCGUAGAUAUCGGGAGGAAGGCCAAAGGCGAAAGCACUCUGCUGGGCCGAUUACUGACACUGACAGACGAAAGCUAGGGGAGCGAAAGGGAUUAGAUACCCCGUGUAGUCCUAGCCGUAAACGAUGGAUACUAAGUGUUGCGCGACUCAACUCGUGCAGUGCUGCAGCUACGCGGUAAGUACGUCCGCCGUGGGAGUAGUGCUCGCGAGAGUAGAAACGUUAAAGUAGUAAGUUAGUACGGCGUGAGACGUGACCGACGGACGACGACGAGGGAGGAGG
rnacentral:rRNA from 1 species